CGGAUAUUGUAAAUACCCGUAGUGAAAUCUCAUACAUACCACUACGGGUAUUUGUAAAAACCGACGUGGAAUCCCCAUAAUUUUAAAUAAUAAUUACAGAAGAAACUACACAUACCACGACAGGUAUAAAAAUACCCGACGUGGAAAGUGUGUACUUACAACGUCGACUGCAUUUACUACUGGCCGCGGCCAGUAGUGGAAAGUCUGUUUGGCCAGUAGUUGUAUCUCC
rnacentral:lncRNA from 1 species